AUUCAUUAUAACACCCAUCUGGCCGUGAUCCUGUCAGAUCUUGCAAUCUAAGCAGAGUUAGGCCAGGUCAGCACUGGGACGGGAAACCUCAGGGUGCUAAAGGAAGCAAUGGAGC
rnacentral:rRNA from 1 species